rnacentral:rRNA from 1 species
UGACGUGGAUGCUCGCCUUAAAGACUAAGCCAUGCAAGUUUGCGAGCCGAGCAAUGAACGGCUCAGUAGAACAGGGCGCUCUAACGCCUCAGCAAGAUAACCACGGGAAACUGUGGCUGAGAGGGGCGAUGAGGCUCUGACCUAUCAGCUAGUCGGUACGGUAAGUGCGUACGGAGGCGAUGACGGGUAACGGGGGAUGAUGUCUGAUUCCGGAGAGGGAGCCUGAGAGACGGCUGCCACGUCCAAGGAUGGCAGCAGGCGCGGAACUUACCCAAUGAGCAUUGAGGUAGUGACGAGGCGUAUUUUUGUGAGCCAUGGAUUAGAAACCCUGGUGAGGGCGACUGGAGGGCAAGUCUGGUGCCAGCAGCCGCGGUAAUUCCAGCUCCAGUAGCGUCUGUGUGUGUUGCUGCGGUUAAAAAGCGCGUAGUCGGCAGCGAUGGUGGUCUUUUUGAUGGGUCUUCAUGGCGCAUUUCGAGAUCUGACCUCGCUGCUAGGGAGCGUGAGACGCUGGUGGUAUUCGACAGCGAGGGGUGAAAACUGCAGACCUGACGAGGAGCAACAAAGGCGUAGGCAGCCAGCGAGUGCGCAUCCGACGAUCAAGCGCGUGGGCAGGAGUAUCGAAGGCGAUUAGAGACCGUCGUAGUUCCUGCAGUAAACGAUGCCGACACGGUUGAUCAGAGUUGACCGAGGGGAAACCUAGUGUACGGGCUCCGGGGAGAGUACGAGCGCAAGCUUGAAACUUGAAGAAAUUGACGGAAGGACACCACAAGGCGUGGAGUGUGCGGGUUAAUCUGACUCAACGCGAAGAAACUUACCCAGUCCGCGACUAUUGCGAGAGGGACACCCGAUGAUGUCGCACGUGGUGCAUGGCCGUUCUCAACGCAAGGGGUGACCAAUGAGUUAGUUCUGGCAAGCAGUGAGGCCCCUGUACAGAUGUAGACGGCGUACGUAAGUGCGAGGAAGCGAGGGCGUAUAACAGGUCUGUGAUGCCCGCAGAUGACUGGGGCACCACGCGCACUACAAUUAGCGACAGCUAGUGGUAGGGAUUGGCGCUUGUAAAUGCGCCAUGAACGAGGAAUGCCUAGUAGGAGCCAGUCAACAGCUGGAGCCGAAUGAGUCCCUGUUCUUUGUACACACCGCCCGUCGUUAUCUAAGAUGGCCGUGCGGAUGAAGUCUUCUUUGGAGGAAUGAAUCUGUGCAGCUAGAUUGGAUACAAGUCG